rnacentral:rRNA from 1 species
CAGUAGCCGCGGUAAUACGUAGGUGGUAAGCGUUGUCCGGAAUUAUUGGGCGUAAAGGGCUCGCAGGCGGUUUCUUAAGUCUGAUGUGAAAGCCCCCGGCUCAACCGGGGAGGGUCAUUGGAAACUGGGAAACUUGAGUGCAGAAGAGGAGAGUGGAAUUCCACGUGUAGCGGUGAAAUGCGUAGAGAUGUGGAGGAACACCAGUGGCGAAGGCGACUCUCUGGUCUGUAACUGACGCUGAGGAGCGAAAGCGUGGGGAGCAAACCGGAUUAGAUACCCCGGUAGUCCCUGUCUCUUAUAC